CAGUCUUACACACUGAAGGUCUCCAGUUCAAUCCUGGGCAGCAACAUAUGUAUUUAUUACUAUUAUUUCAUAUUAAUAGCAUUGUUUGAAUAAUUAAUAUACAUCAUAAGCCUUUCUUUUCUUCCUAUUUUUAAUUUUUGAUCAUUUUAUUUCUAUAUUUUGUUCUUGCUUUUUUUCCAUUGUUUAAAAUAAAUGGUAGAUUCAUUUCAAAAUUAAGAAAAAUAAAUUUCUACAAGUAUAAAAUCUACAUUUGUUGAAUAUAAAAAUAUUUAUUAAUAAAAUAAUUAAAUUAUUAUAUUUAUGUUUUUCUUACUAUUAUUUCAUAUUAAUAUAAGUGUUUCAAUUAUUAAUAUCCAUCAUAUGCCAUUUUUUUCUAUUUUGAUAUUUUAUUAUUAUUUGCUUUCUCUAUUUUGUA
rnacentral:lncRNA from 1 species